GGGGAAGAACUCUGGAGCAGACGAGAAAGCACCACCAUUUCUCACCUGUCAAGGCCCAACGCGGUUAAGGCGUUUCGAGGGGUGGAAGAGAGCGGGUUCCUCCCUUCCCAGAAGCUGCGUCGACGCUCUUGUCAUGGCGGAACCGUGACUACGAGGAAAUCGCUUCAUCGUAGAUUAAGCGAGCCAGCCGAGGACACAUUCCUGUUUAGGAGGACCGGUGGUCACGGGGACUGUGAGGAGGAGGAGGGGCCGGCGGCUCACAGAGGAAAGCCAGAGUAAUUACAAAGAUCCAUCCCAUCUAUAAAUACAGAUCCCUGCCACCGCGCGGACACUUCACUGGGAAAAACAUCUCUGUGUCUUCCUGUAGCCGUUUACAGUCCAUCCCCGCCCUGACGUCCUUUCACCGAGAACCCUAUUACUGUUCCGUGAUACACCUUUGAUCCAGCGGGACGGUGAACUCAGCCACAGAUCACUAAGAGCAGGUAGGGUCUCUCAAGGUGGCCUCCAGGGGACACCGAGG
ensembl:lncRNA